rnacentral:rRNA from 1 species
AUAUUAUUAAGCGGAGGAAAAGAAACUAACAAGGAUUCCCCUAGUAACGGCGAGCGAAGCGGGAAGAGCUCAAAUUUAAAAUCUGGGAGGCUUGCCUCUCCGAAUUGUAGUUUAAAGAGGCGUUAUCUGGUCUUUGGUCGGUGCUCAAGUCCCUUGGAAUAGGGCGUCACAGAGGGUGAGAACCCCGUCUGGGCACUGGUCAAAGGCCUCUAUGAGGCGCUCUCUACGAGUCGGGUUGUUUGGGAAUGCAGCUCAAAAUGGGUGGUAAAUUUCAUCUAAGGCUAAAUACUGGCAAGAGACCGAUAGCGCACAAGUA